rnacentral:piRNA from 1 species
UGUUCAUUUAGUCACUGAGGUGGACUGACU